rnacentral:rRNA from 1 species
CGAAAGCCUGACGGAGCAAUACCGCGUGAGGGAUGAAGGAUUUUGGUCUGUAAACCUCUUUUCUCAAGAAAGAAGUUCUGACGGUACUUGAGGAAUAAGCAUCGGCUAACUCCGUGCCAGCAGCCGCGGUAAUACGGGGGAUGCAAGCGUUAUCCGGAAUCAUUGGGCGUAAAGCGCCUGUAGGUUGUUUAAUAAGUCUGUUGUUAAAGACUAGGGCUUAACCCUAGAAAAGCAAUGGAAACUACUAGACUAGAGUAUGGCAGGGGUAGAGGGAAUUUCUAGUGUAGCGGUGAAAUGCGUAGAUAUUAGAAAGAACACCGGUGGCGAAAGCGCUCUACUGGACCAUUACUGACACUCAGAGGCGAAAGCUAGGGUAGCAAAAG